GUUUCCGUAGUGUAGUGGUUAUCACGUGAGUUUUACACACUCAAGGUCCCCGGUUCGAGCCCGGGCGGAAACU
rnacentral:tRNA from 1 species